rnacentral:rRNA from 1 species
GUCUAUAGCCAUGCCACCCUGAACAAUCCCGAUGUCUGAUCUCGGAAGCUAAGUAGGACGGGGCCUGGUUAGUGCUUGGAUGGGAGACCACCUAGGAAGACCAGGUGGUGUAGGCA